UUAUUAUGAGAGUUUGAUCCUGGCUCAGGACGAACGCUGGCGGCGUGCCUAAUACAUGCAAGUCGAACGCUUCUUUCCUCCCGAGUGCUUGCACUCAAUUGGAAAGAGGAGUGGCGGACGGGUGAGUAACACGUGGGUAACCUACCCAUCAGAGGGGGAUAACACUUGGAAACAGGUGCUAAUACCGCAUAACAGUUUAUGCCGCAUGGCAUAAGAGUGAAAGGCGCUUUCGGGUGUCGCUGAUGGAUGG
rnacentral:rRNA from 2 species